rnacentral:rRNA from 1 species
GAGUUUGUAUCCUGGCUCAGGAUAAACGCUGGCGGCGUGCAUGAGACAUGCAAGUCGAACGGACUUUCAAGCUUGCUUGAAAGUUAGUGGCGGACGGGCUGAGUAACGCGUAGGUGACCUGCCCCGAAGUGGGGAAUAAACUGCCCGAAAGGGUGGCUAAUACCGCAUGCGAUCGGUCAUUCAUUUGAUCGAUCAAAGCAGUAAUGCGCUUUGGGAGGGGCCUGCGUCCGAUUAGCUCGUUGGUGGGGUAAUGGCUCACCAAGGCGACGAUCGGUAGGUGGUCUGAGAGGACGAUCACCCAGACUGGGACUGAGACACGGCCCAGACUCCUACGGGAGGCAGCAGUCGGGAAUUUUGCUCAAUGGACGAAAGUCUGAAGCAGCAA